rnacentral:rRNA from 1 species
UACGAGGGGGGCAAGCGUUGUUCGGAAUUAUUGGGCGUAAAGGGCUCGUAGGCGGCCAACUAAGUCAGACGUGAAAUCCCUCGGCUUAACCGGGGAACUGCGUCUGAUACUGGAUGGCUUGAGUUUGGGAGAGGGAUGCGGAAUUCCAGGUGUAGCGGUGAAAUGCGUAGAUAUCUGGAGGAACACCGGUGGCGAAGGCGGCAUCCUGGACCAACACUGACGCUGAGGAGCGAAAGCCAGGGGAGCAAACGGG